GAUGAAGAACGUAGUGAAAUGCGAUAAGUAAUGUGAAUUGCAGAAUCUCGUGAAUCAUCGAAUCUUUGAACGCACAUUGCGCCCUAUGGUAUUCCGUAGGGCAUGCCCGUCUGAGCGUCAACUCCCACCCUCUCAAGUCUUCUUUUUUGUUAAGGAGAUUUGGAUUACUUUGAGGAAGUAUCGUUUUUUUUUUUAUAAUGCUACUCCUCAGAAAUUCAUAGGCAGUAUGGUCAAACCUGAACCAGGCGUAAUAAUUCUAUAAAAAUCGUCUAUGAAGGAAUGUCUGUAUUAGCCUUUAACCCCCCCUAAUUUAUUUUACUUGGGUGACCUCAGAUCAGGUAGGGAUACCCGCUGAACUUAAGCAUAUGAAUAAGCGGAGGA
rnacentral:misc_RNA from 1 species